GAAUAUUCUGGUGUUCCUAUAGAUCAGGUUUUGCUGAUUUGGGAAAAUAAAGACUAUGGAUCAACUAGGAAUACUGUUCAUAUUAAUGAGAAAAUGCUUCUGUUAGAACCUUGUUGAAGGCACAAUUUUGAGUUGAUCCAGUUCUUGAACUCUGUAGACUCUGAUAAUUCUGAAUCUGUUGUUUUGUCUUUUGCUGAUAUUUUGUGUGUGGCAAAUGUCGAGGAAGCCAGUUUUCUCAGAUUUCAAAAUAGUAUAUGGAAAAAUGAAGAGAAAAUGCAAUGUGUCCAUCCUUUGCAACUAGUUUGGGAUCCAGUGUCAUCUGCUCUAAAACACAACAAACCAGUGAAAAAUGAUCUGCUUGUAAAUGAAGCUGCAAUUAAAAAAAAAAUAGGUGCCCUUGAAGAUGAGCUAACUUUUCUUCACUCUCAGAUUCCUGCAAUUUUGGAAAUGCAGGAACUGAAAAACAGUACAAAUUCUAGUUCCUUUGGCUUGAAUGAUGGGCCCAUUAGUUUGGGACAAAUGCCAUCAUCACGGGCUGUUCAGCUGAGUGGGGAGUCACACAUAUAUAUUUGUUCUUUACUACAUUUAUACUCUGUUCCUUUGUAGAGUGUAUAAUAAGCCUUAACAUAAUAAAAAUCAGUUUCCAAGUUCAAUGCUUUCUUCUCCUCCUCCACUACCACUUCCUCCUCAGUUUUCUUCUCUCUAGCUUCCAUGUUUUCUUCCCAUACAACUAGGAUCUAAUAAUAUUUGUGACUCAGAUAAUCCAGCUACUGAAAUGAACAAACAGCACCCAGGUGCUAGUAUAGUCAUCAUCCAAAAAGCCACAGAAAUAAAGAUGUUCUAAACAUGUUGGAUGUUCUAGAGGACAUAAAUAAAGUGAAGCUCUGUGCAAUUGAACAGUCACCUGGUGGCAGAUCCAUUCAUAAGAGGAAAAUAAAAAAUUCAUAUUGGGAUCCGAUGUCUUUAACGUCUCAUGCACUUAAGCAGAAAUUUGCAUUUCAAAAAGAUGAUUCAUUUGAGAAAGAAAAUAGAUCUUAGGAGCCUUCUCCAUUUUCUUGUCCAGAAACUUCAACAUUUGGACAUCACAUUUCUCAGUCAGAAGGACAGUGAACUAAGGAAGAACUGAUAAGCACAAAGGCUGUUGACCAAGGUAUCAGCAACAAAAGC
rnacentral:lncRNA from 1 species